GCUAGCGGUACGCUUGCGGUACGAUAUCAAGACAAGUUGAUUAUUAUUGUGUUAUUAUAAUAGGUAAUUGUAGAAAAUAGUGUUAAAAUGAGUGUGUGUAGGACUUGCUUAUCUAAAGACAAUCUUAAUAACAUAUUUUCGGAUAAGAAUCUUAUAAGUUUACAUACAAAAAACCUUUUUUUAGUUUGCGGCGUCAAGAUUGAGGAAAACGAUGGUUUGUCGCAGUUAAUGUGUAAAUCGUGUCUAAAUAUAGUUAAAAGUGCAUUAAAACUAAGAGAAUUAAGCGCAAAAUCCGAAGAAAUACUCAAAAAAACAAUUAAAAUUGAAUCAGAAUCAGAAAUUGAACCGCAUUCAACAAAAAUCGACACCAAACACAAAAAUAAAAAAGAUAUCCAAAAUUCAAAUAAAGAACUGCAGAGAAAAAUAAAAUGGCCAGAGUGUACAGCAAAAGUUUGCACAAAAAGAAGUUUUGAUGCCAAUAAUGAUGAUGACUUUAAAGAUGAAUUUUCAGUCAGAAUUGAAGAUUUUGAGUCAAGUAAUGAUUCAGAUUUUAUGAAUAACUUUUUGAUUGAUGAUUUAGAAUCUAUAAACAGUGAAAAUGAGCAAAAAGUAUGUAUAGAAGACUAUGAGUCGAGCGAUAGUCUUGAUGAGGAUUUUAAAAAUAUUAUUAAAAAGGAUAAUAAAAUUAAUUGGGAUGUCAAAGAAAAGGGUUAUUAGAGAAGGGGAGGAGGAAACUGUUGUGUAAGCAGCAAGAUGCUAAGCUGUUGUCUUUGGCCGCAGCUCCCUACAACAGUGAGGGUCCUAUCAGAUGUACCUUAUGUAGCAAAGAGUUGAAGAAUCUGCAGAAUUUCAAAUGCCACGCCAAAACACAUUUUGAACCACAAAAUACUUGUGAGGACUGUGGCAGAAAAUUUGUGAACCCCAGUCAUAUGAGAUACCACCAGCAAAGGGUGCAUGGUAAGACGAAACGGCUAGCCUGUUCCCAUUGCAACUACAGAGCUGUCGACCCUAUGGCUUUGAGGAACCACGUACGCGCAGAACAUACUGGCGAGAGACCUUUUAUAUGUGACGUAUGCGGCGAAAACUUUCGUAUGAGAGCUAACAUCGCCCAGCAUAUGAGAAUACACGGCGGAGUCAAGAACUUACAGUGUGAGCGCUGUCCUGCAAUGUUCCGAAGUCGGUCAGAACUGACUGGACAUCAGAAUCGAGUACAUUAUAUGAUAUACACGUACCUAUGUUACUUGUGCACGGAAACUUACAAAAAGCUGGAUUCUGUGAAAAAACAUCUUCUGAACAUACAUGGCGUUCCCAGAGAACAACAGUUACCUAUUAAAUGUAUUAAAAGGCGCCGAAGAAGCUGUGACAAGAGUGACUGAAGCUGAAUGAAUAAGCUACAUUUAAAUAAAAAGUUGGAUUCUGUUCAUAACUU